rnacentral:lncRNA from 7 species
GAGCCCUGCCUGAAAUGGCGGCGGGCAGAGCGGGGUGUGUGAGGCGGAACGCGGCCUACGUCGGCUGCCCCGGCCCGGGGGCACCGGGAAGAGACGCGGCCGGGACUGGAGGAGUGCUGCGGGGGGAGCUGAGAGAGGAACCCCGCGGAAUUGCGCUGUGGAGGUCACGAUGUCCCAGCACGAGGAUCGCCCCAAGCGACGCCCUCUGCUCCUGCUCUCUGGGCUCCCUCGGUCGUCUCUGGGACGUGAGGGCCCGGGGCGAGCCCGUGGGGCACCCCUGGGUGAUGUUCUCACGCCCCGCGAGCGGGCGCUGCUCCGGGGCCCUGCUGCCAGCCGGCCAGCAGAGAGGGGAGAGCCCAGCCCACCGCGAGGGGACCCGUGGGAACCGGAGCUGCUGGAGGCCCAUCAGCGCCACGUGGCUGAAAUCCGGGCCAGGACCCAACAGCUAGAGCAGCAGAGAGAGCGUAGGCACCGGCACAGGGUGCGGGGUGACCGUUGUGGUUCUGGAGUGACCCGGCUGUGCGUCCCACAGAGCUGUGCCAGCGCCUGGCAUUGCUGUGCAACAACCGUCUGUCACCAGAAAUGAGCUGGGCUGCGGAGGUGCUGUCAGACAAAGCUGGACACCAGCACCGAGGGGCUGCUCUCCACCUUGACACCCUCCUGCUGCCCUCCGGGUCUCUGUCAGCUGAGGCCAGGUGAGCUGAUGGCAGGCGGGAGCCCAGCAGAGCCCCAGCCGCCAGGGCUCAUGCCAGUGCCAUGGCAGGGCACUGCGGCUCUCCUACCUGCAUGCUGGUGGCCAUGACGAGGCCACCCUGGCACAGCUGCUAGACCUCCAGCUGGAGGCCACAGCGCUGGAGAAAAGGGCUGCACAGAAGAUGAGUAAGCACCAGCCCCAGCACAGAGCCCAGGGACAGGACCGAACUGCUAUUGAGGCAGCACAGGGCCUCGAUGCGGCGCUGAUGGCUGUGGAGCUGGAGAACCAGCGGCUCGAGGAUGAGCUUCUGGCAUUGAAGGUCCGGAGGGAGAUGCGAGCUGAUGUCGGAUCGCUGGCAGCCCGGCAUCAUGCAGAGGACCUGGCUCAGCUGCAGGCAAAGGUGGAGAUGCUGCUGCGACACCAGGCAGAGGGGAUGGGGCCGCGCCUGCCCCCUGCCGUCUUCCCACCGCCUGUGGCCCCUCCACUGCCCCCAGCCUUAGCUCUGGCGGAGCCACCAAGGCCAACCCUGAGGAUAGGCAGCCCCACAGCUUCCAGCCGCCCACUUGCACCCUCUAGCCUCCCCAGCAUCGCCUUUGGAGCCCUGGAUGACCCCCCUCCUCCUACUCAGGAGGCACCAGCUCUGCACAAACGCCCCCAGAGACACUUCUCAAGGUACAUCUAGGAAAAGCCUCAUAGGAGGCAUUCAUGGCUCAAACCAGGGAGCAGCAAAAUCCAUGGCAAGAUUUCCUCUACCAUCUUUGGGCCCAUGUGGGGGGUAUAUAAUAAAUGGCUUCUACCU